rnacentral:rRNA from 1 species
UAGGGAAUCUUCGGCAAUGGACGGAAGUCUGCCCGAGCAACGCCGCGUGAGUGAAGAAGGUUUUCGGAUCGUAAAGCUCUGUUGUAAGAGAAGAACGAGUGUGAGAGUGGAAAGUUCACACUGUGACGGUAUCUUACCAGAAAGGGACGGCUAACUACGUGCCAGCAGCCGCGGUAAUACGUAGGUCCCGAGCGUUGUCCGGAUUUAUUGGGCGUAAAGCGAGCGCAGGCGGUUAGAUAAGUCUGAAGUUAAAGGCUGUGGCUUAACCAUAGUAGGCUUUGGAAACUGUUUAACUUGAGUGCAAGAGGGGAGAGUGGAAUUCCAUGUGUAGCGGUGAAAUGCGUAGAUAUAUGGAGGAACACCGGUGGCGAAAGCGGCUCUCUGGCUUGUAACUGACGCUGAGGCUCGAAAGCGUGGGGAGCAAACAGGAUUAGAUACCCUGGUAGUCCACGCUGUAAACGAUGAGUGCUAGGUGUUAGACCCUUUCCGGGGUUUAGUGCCGUAGCUAACGCAUUAAGCACUCCGCCUGGGGAGUACGACCGCAAGGUUG